ensembl:lncRNA
CACCGCAGGGGGUGCCGUGUAAAUAUUUGCUGUUACCAAUAUUGCCACCUGUUAGAAUAGACUCUCCUGGGGCACCGGCGGGGUCAGAGGGCACGGUCCACGUUGCCAGACUCCCCGCAGGGCGCCGGCCAAGCUGUUUCCCACUGUUUCGCCUGCAACCACGAAGUGAGUCUCUUUGAUUUUCGCCUUCUCAGAGGAGAAUAGUGGGAUCCCAGUGAGGUUUUUAAUUUGCAUUGAUUUUCUAAUGAGCGCGGUUAAACAGUCUUUCAGGAGGACUCUGCGGUUUCUGGAGCCGCUGCAGGAUUCUCCUCUGGGAGAUGUGGUCCUGGCGGGGGAGAGCCCGGCAUGGCGGGGAAGGUGGCGCCUUGAGACCCAGGGAGCGAGAAGCAGCGAGGAAGCCAGCGUUUCGGGUUGUGGAGCGUGCCCUGAACCUCGGUGUUUCGGGACUGAAUAAUCUGCCAACUAGGGACUGAAGAUGCUUCUCUAAUAAGAUUUCUGAGAACCCGAGAAGGCAGUUCAUUCCUUCAUCCAUCAAAUAUGGACAGCUCACGGGUAUUGAGCGUGUCCUGUGCCCCAGGUCCUGUCCAGAGGGUUACAACCGUGGGAACUCCGGAAAUCGGUAUCCCAAAUCUACGAGGGCGGUGUACGAUUGUACAGCUGGGGAAACUCCAGACUCAGAGAGGUGAAGUCACUGACCAAAGGUCACACAGCGAGUAAGCAGUAGUCAGGACUUGAACGGUCUGACCCUGCUAAUCCAUUCGGUCAUGGUUACUGAGUGCCCGUCAGGAGAACAGCAGGGUUCUAGGCACCGGAGACAGGAAGGAGAAGGAGACAGAGAUCCCUACCUUGGAAGCACUGACCUUCCAAUAGGAAGCACUCGCAUCCCAGGAGAGGGGCUGACGUCUCAGGGGGAGAGGCUGACAUCCCAGGGGGAGAGGCUGACAUCCCAGGGGAGAGGCUGACAUCCCAGGGGGAGGGGCUGACGUCUCAGGGGGAGGGGCCGACAUUCCCUACCCUAAGACCCCACAGCCUCCGCCUCCCCACCAUACUCUGUCCCUAUGAGUACUGACUGAGCUCCUCGCAGGCACACAUCUCUGUCACCCCUGGGAUCCCAGCGCGCCUGACAGGAACGAGCCUCUGCCCUCGCGGAGGCCGCAGCCCGGGGAAGACAGGCCCGAACGGGAGGAUCCACAGAGAGACGCUCACCUCCCAGGCAGGAGGGCGGCAGUUCACAGGUGGGGAAACCGAGGCCGGUGCUCAGACCUGCGUGGUGGCCCCUAUGCUUUCCAGCUCAGGCUGCCAGCUCCCGCUCAGACACCCCAGAAGACAGCUGCCCCCCACCUGCCGGCGAGCUCAGGACAACGAGGGAACGGAGCAGUGGAUCUCCACAUCUGAGCCUCAGUUUCUCCACCUGCAUGGUGGAGCCGUUAAGAGGAGCCAACUCGUCGGGCUCGGCACAGCAUGGAGCCCGCCAUCCUUCAAGGACACGGGCUUCCUGAGAGAAUGGAGAAGGGCCGUGGGAGUGAAGGGCGUGAGACUGGAGAGGGGCUGGUUCCGGCAGCGGGAGCCGCGGACCGACGGGAAAAUGGGCCAGCACCGCCCCCGCGUGGCGGCUCCGAGUUCUGCACCCGGGGCUUCCCGCGAGGGAGACCGUCCUCUGUCCACACGCAGGAGGAGGGACCAGGGCGUCUGCAACCCUCCAGCGAAAGUUCCAGCGACGCCGUGAGUCCGUUCCUAACGGACGUUCGCGACGCCUUCCCCGGAAAACGCAAGAGUUCCCGUCAUCCUCUUCAGAAGCUGCCUUUUCGGAUCGUGAGCGAAAUGAAAUUGUUUCUCAUCAGAUGAGAAACUUACACAUUCCAUUCACGUCUUUGAUCUCGGGCCGGCCUUGCCGUGGCCUCUGGGGCCCAUUGGACAGAGAUUUUCACUGUUGUCUGGCCGAGAAGAAAACCGGGGCUCAGAGAGAAGGAACGGAUCUGAAGUACCCAGCAGUCCGUAGGCCGGAGUCACGGUCCGGGGCGAAGGCCGGGCUCUGGGAUUGGGGAAUCCUGUGUCUUCUCAUUGCUGAGCCUGAGAGGAAGAGAGACAGAGACACACAGAGACAUGAGCGAGAAAGAGAGACCAAGACGAUAAAGUGGGGACCAAAGAGACAGACCCAGCCCGCCACCGCCGCCCUCUUCCCACUCACCUUGUUGAAGAAGUAGAUGGAGGCGAGGAUGGUGAAUACGGCCAUGGCCAGGGUUACAUUCUGGGGGGAGGGUUCAGAGGUCAGGGCCCACCCCUCCCUCCCUCCCCUCCCCCCUAGGCCUCCCCCACCACCGCUGGACCCCUCCUCACUUCCUGAAAGUUCAUGGCCAUGGGGACUGAGCCACACGCGUUCAUUCACGUGACCUCUCUCUCCCUUUCCUGGGUCUCUGAGCUAGAGAGGGGAGACAAGCCACCAGAACCUGAGAGGGGUUGUCUGGGAGACCAGAAUGGUGGCCAUGGUGACAAGAGAAAGGCAUUCUGGGUAGAGGGGACCUUGGGGCAGAGGCUUGGGGGAGAAGAGGAAUUGGAUGCAGAAUGUCACAUGCAGUAUCUGAAUUUGGGAUUGGGACAUUUGAGAUGGGACAGCCCAGACCUCCAACACCAUUCCGAGCAGUUUGUCUCCCCUGAGGGUGCUUGGGAGCCAUGGCGGGGCUGUGAGCAGGGGAGGCAGCAGUCAGCUCUUAGUGCCAGAAAUAUCCCGGAGCAGGAGGAGGGUGAGGCUGGAAGAGAAGGUGAGGUGGCCCAGGCCGAAUUUCCGCCAGCAGCGUCUGCCAGAGCAAAGUUAAGAGACACGGCGCUGGCUAGACUGGGCAUCCCAGCGCCUGGUCACCAGCUGUGGGGGUGGGAGUGGCAGUUCUAAUGGUAGAAACCGUGGUAGUGGCAGCAGCUUCCAGCGGUCCCUGACUUUUACUCCGCCAGCCCUCCUGUUACUUUUGCAGAUACUUCUUUUUGUCCGUCACGCCUUUAGAAUUAACGUCCAGAUUACCAGAAACACAGGAGAGAGAAACAAGUACAGUCGACCCUCUCUACCCGCGGAUUCCAUCUUUGCGAAUUCGCCUGUUCGCUAAAAGUUAUUUGUAACCGCCCAAUGAAGACUCGCGGCGUUCUCGCGAUCAUUCGCGGACAUGCGCAGAGCGGCUAAACUUUGGAGUCGGUGGAUGCGCGCAUCCCCAGCUGAGGUCAGACAAGGUGGUGCUCUGCCCUCCUGUCCCAGCUCUCAGCAGAGAGACGCCCAGAGAGGGUGCCUGGAGUGGGGCGCUGCUGUGCGGGGAGCUCCCACCCUGGGGCCAGCGGGAGGCGUUUGAAUCCCAGCUCUGGUACCUGUGAGUGGGGCGGCCUCAGGCAAAGUUUCCAGUUUGUAAAAUAAAGAAAAUUGAAUUUCCGUGGAUGAGUAGUUCUUAGGAUUUAAGAUUAUAAUCUAUGUGAGAGACAUAUACAUAUAGAUUUUUAUAUAUAUACUUUUUUUCUUUUUUUUUUGGUGAGGAAGAUUGUCACUGAGCUAACAUCUGUGCCAAUCUUCAUCUGUCCUAUGUGGGACGCCUCCGCAGCAUGGCUUGACGAGCGGUGCUAGGUCCACACCCGGGAUCCCAAACUGCGAACCCCAGGCCAGCAAAGCGGAGCACAGGAACUUUAACCCCUAUGCCACCAGCGGGCCCCUCUGGGGUCUCUUGCAUAAGGGCACUAAUCCCAUUCCUGAGGGCUCCACCCUCAUGACCUCAUCACCCCCCAAGGCCACGCCUCCUAAGACCAUCACAUGGUGGGUCAGGAUUUCAAG